rnacentral:tRNA from 1 species
UCCGAAUUGGUGUAGUGGCUAACAUUUGACGCUCUCAUGAUUAGAACCGUCAAGCCCGGGGUUCGAUUCCCCGAUUCGGAG